CUGAGUGCAGAAGAGGAGAGCGGAAUUCCACGUGUAGCGGUGAAAAUGCGUAGAGAUGUGGAGGAACACCAGUGGCGAAGGCGGCUCUCUGGUCUGUAACUGACAGACUGAGGCGCGAAAGCGUGGGGAGCGAACAGGAUUAGAUACCCUGGUAGUCCACAGCCGUAAACGAUGAGUGCUAAGUGUUAGAGGGUUUCCGCCCUUUAGUGCUGAGAA
rnacentral:rRNA from 1 species